AUCUUUGCUGGAUGUAAGCAUUAUGUGCGCAGCUGUUUAUUAAAAGCGCCUUGCUGCGGUAAACUGUAUGUUUGUCGGCUGUGCCACAAUGUAGAGGAGAACCACCAGAUGGAUCGCUUCAAAGUCCAAGAGGUGCAGUGCUCCAAGUGUCACACAGUGCAGCAGACGCAGCAGACCUGUCAGCAUUGUCAUGUGCAGUUUGGGGAGUGUUACUGUGAUAUAUGCCACUUGUUUGACAAGAAUAAGAAACAGUACCACUGCCAGUCCUGUGGAAUCUGCAGGAUCAGGCCCAGGGAGAAAUACUUCCACUGUGAGAAGUGUAAUCUGUGUUUAGCUAAGGAUUUGCGAGGAA